rnacentral:rRNA from 1 species
AUUGAACGCUGGCGGCAGGCCUAACACAUGCAAGUCGAGCGGAGGGGCGGGCGGGUGAGGACUGGCGGGGAACCUGCCUGAUGGAGGGGGAUAACUGCUGGAAACGGUAGUUACUACCGCAUACAGUCGGAUGUGGCCAGGUGGGAUUAGCUAGUGGGUGGGGUAACGGCCCACCAAGGCGACGAUCCCUAGCUGGUCUGAGAGGAUGACCAGCCACACGGGAACUGAGACACGGUCCAGACUCCUACGGGAGGCAGCAGUGGGGAAUAUUGGACAAUGGGCGAAAGCCUGAUCCAGCCAUGCCGCGUGUGUGAAGAAGGUCUUCGGAUUGUAAAGCACUUUAAGUUGGGAGGCGUUACCAACAGAAUAAGCACCGGCUAACUUCGUGCCAGCAGCCGCGGUAAUAC